GACGAACCGUGCGAACGUUGUUCGGAAUCACUGGGCUUAAAGGGCGCGUAGGCGGCAGAUCAAGUCCGGGGUGAAAUCCUCCAGCUUAACUGGAGAAGUGCCUUGGAUACUGAUUUGCUCGAGGGAGGUAGGGGUCGAGGGAACUUCUGGUGGAGCGGUGAAAUGCGUUGAUAUCAGAAGGAACGCCGGUGGCGAAAGCGCUCGACUGGAUCUUUUCUGACGCUGAGGCGCGAAAGCUAGGGGAGCAAACAGG
rnacentral:rRNA from 1 species